CCUAGGGCAUGCCCAAAGAGCUUGAAGCAGAGCAUCCGCAGGAUAUUGCAGAAGAUUAGAAGCUGUAGGAACUCAGGCAAAGUUUUUGAAGGCCUUUGUUUGCAGUUAGUCUAACUGGCGCUGACAGCAGGGAGAACACCACUGGCAUGCCCAAAACCCACACCCCCCAGCUGGUCACGCUGCAGGUUCCUGGGCUUUGCAGUUCGUCAGUUCUCACACAAGGACCUCUGUCACGAGAAGGUUGUUUAUGAUCAGGAAUUGAAAGAAGCCUUGUUUAUCCUCACUCCGCAGUCAGAAGAGGUAUAGCCUUGGAAAAGUCAUUCUCAGGUACAGAGCUGCGGAGUCCUUGUUGCUUCACCAAGAGGGAUACAGAAACCUAUGCAGAAUUCAACCCCAUCCCUAAUUCUGUCUCCACAAGUGGAUGAGCCAAACUUUAUUCCUCUUAGAGAGUUUUGCAAAGCUCUUGCUGCAGCACUUGCAAAGGAUCUGACUCUGAGAUCAGCAACCCUGGUGUUGACCAGGAGCACCUCUCGCUUUCUCACUCUGCUCGCUGGUGCAGACAACAACUCUGAGUGAUGCUGCUAGACAAAUGGUGGGAAGGGGACACAGCCGCGGCAUUGUGGAGGACGUGCAGAUGACUCAUCCGUUUAAACAGCUAAAAGCAGAUUUCUCCAGCAGCUACAGAAGGAGAUGAUCCAAUUCACGCAGAAGAUAAUUGCCAGGGCUCUCAACAGAAGGCAAGGGCUCUGCAGCAGAAGAGAUGGUGCUCACACGAGACCAUGAAAGGCCUUGAGGAACACAAGUGCCGAUGUUUUCUCAACCAAACACAGCUGAGCUCUGUUAUCUAAUUCACAAGCUAUAGAUUCUGUGUUUCCCAAGGGGAGGGGAUUGCAUUAAUUACUUAUGAAUCAAUUGAUCUGCUGCUAUUUCAGGAACAUCUACCUCAUGGCUCUGUAAUGGAGAUGAUUCCCAAACAGCAGCUCCCUUACUUAACACAAGUCACCCCUGAAGAAGAGCAGGGCAAGGGCCUGCAGCGCAGGGCACUUUCAGGAUGCAGGGCACACUCAUACAAAGUACUGACCGUAUCUAUUCCUCACCUUGUUCUUGCACCCCAAUCUAUAUCAGCAGUUGUGAAUUGUCACCACUGGGAGUGAGACUGUUAUACCCAUCUUACUCUGGCAGAAAUGAGGACAGCAGGAAAAAUACACCCACUUCAGGUAUGGCCAGAAGAAGGGAUGCAGACCUCCAGAGAGCAACCAACACACAUUAAAGAAGACCUCAGGGAUCUCGUACAGAGUUGUUGGCAGACAGCUGCAGGACUGGGGAAGGCAAAUACAUGCUUUAUAACCUUUUUGCAGCCCUGGACUGUUCUAAUAUUUUUGGGCAGACCCUGCAUUUGCCCCCUUGUAUUUGACAUGGGCAAUAGUUUUCUAUUUUGAAACGCAUAACCCAGUUGGUUUUCCAUCAGAGAUCCCUGUGGCUUCCUCCCAGUUUCAUCUUCCAUAUGACCUGAAAGUGCAUUAAAGUGUUGAGAUUAACAUUUCUUUAAAAAAAAAUAUGUAAACAAGAUACUUGGCAUGCACUAGAUGACACUGCUCAUUAAUGAACCUGGACCGCUAUGGCAGGGUGUAAAAUCACUCCUAGGGUUCUGUUUAGACCCUCCCAAAAGCCACAGUUCAAUCCGGGCAGUUGCUACACUUCCUAUAAAUAUGGAAUGUCUUAUAGAAGACAAAAGCAUGUUUUUUUUUUCUCAUUUAUCACCCUAAACCAGAUCCACAGCAAGCAAGUCUGCACGUGUAAAAGAUCAAUGGCAUAUUGCCAGUUUAUAUCCACCACAGCCCAAGCCCAAAGUAUCUGGUGGAUGCUGACUCUGUGUGCUCUGUGUAGGAAGCACACACAGAUUUCUUUCUGAGCCAUCACAAUAGAAACUGUCCCUGUAU